ensembl:lncRNA
CUCAAACAAUCCUGUGAUUCUUGUAGAUAGAUGCUCAAGAACUGUCCAGAGGAACAAUUCCAAAACAAACCAGGAGGCAGAGGGCACUGUAGGGUAGAGGAGCUCAAGGUGAGGUUUAUUGUGAUUCAGAAGAGCUGACUGGGGAGCACAGGCUUUACGGGCUUAUUUUCUAACAAUUUGUUUUCAACCGUUUUCUUUUCGGAAUAGCUUGGUCACAGGUUUGUUUGUUUGUUCAAUUCUACCGUCUUUCAGGAGAGUGAUUUAGUGUAUUUGCUGACUUAGUGCCCUGUGCAACUCAACUAGGGACACAUUUUCUGCUGCUUCUCAGUUUAUAAAAGCAUGGGAAGAUUUGAAAUCACAUUCUGGGCUCUGCACUUGUUUCUCUCUGACUCCAGAAAGCUGCUUGGUUACUAUUUGCCUUUUUGUUUGAGAAAUGAAGACCUGCAAGUAUGUUUUGGUUAUAUGAGCAACAAAUAACCCCCAGGUUCUUAUCUUCUACAGAGUACAGGGCACUUCUGUGAACAAAGUGCAGCGAUGUACAGCCAGUUGUGUGCUCCUCAGAGCUGUCCUGUUCUCCCAUGUCCUUCUGAUAAAGGUGGGAUGUAGUGGGCUAUGGUAAGUACUGCUGGAGCUGUGGGUGUUUGUAAAGGGUAAUGCAUCUCUAACAGGUACUGUCAGACUCUAGCCUAAAAAAGUUUAUGGGAUUGCCUUUGAAGCUGAUUGCAUUUGCCACAUUCAGCCUGCUUUCUUUUUCACUCCUGUCAGAUCCUGAGGGACUGUGCUUUCCCUGAAGCUGGCUGUCAAUGAGAGGUGCCAAAACAGGAAGUAAUGAAAGUGUACUCAUCCUAUCUCACAUGUGAGGCAGAGGAGUGUACAGCAGCAGGAGAUGAUGAUCCUAGUUCAGCUGGAGUGCAGUCACAUGCCAAGUCUGUCUUUCCUCAUGGUGCUCUCGAGGAUGAUCAUCUUCCAGAGACCACAGCAGGACUGAGUGUCUACUCAAGGAUGAGCAUGCGUUUAAGUGCUAUACCAAAGAGUGAUGCUUUCUUGAAUUAGGGCAGAAGUAUUCUGGGGAAGGAUAUGGAUAUCUGCCUCUGUUCUGCCGCGUCCAUUUGAUCUGCAGUUGUCUGCAUCCCUUUAUCAUGUAAGCCUUUCUUUCCAGGUAUGUAUGCAGUGUCCCUGCAGAGCAGCAGAGUGGUUCAGCCCAUGGCUCUGGAUGCUCUGUGCCCUCUCUUGGUGCAUUAAGCUCCCUAUGGCUCUGUUCCCUUUCCAAGAUCUGUAAUGCAAAUAACUAAUAAUAACAGCGCUGUUGCUGGGGGGAAAGAAUCCUCCUUGUGCGAGUAAAUUCACAUCAGAUGGAGUGGGAUGUCUGCAAACUUGAAAAUUAGAUCAGGGAGAACAAAGCAGAAGCAGUAAGCUUAUUAGAUUCACAGAGGCAGUUUUGUGCAAGCUUUCUGCUUCCUGGGAGAAGAAAUAUUUUUGAAAUGGGUUUGAUUGCUAAUCUGAUUAUGGCAGCUCAAAAGUUAAAGCGAAACAUGAAAUAAAUGAAGGCUUUUGGAGUUAUGAAUUAAUUAG